GUUUGAUCCUGGCUCAGGAUGAACGCUAGCGGCAAGCUUAAUACAUGCAAGUCGAGGGGCAGCAUGAAGUAGCAAUACUUUGAUGGCGACCGGCAAACGGGUGCGGAACACGUACACAACCUUCCUUUUAGUGGGGAAUAGCCCAGAGAAAUUUGGAUUAAUACCCCGUAACAUAACGAUGUGGCAUCACAUUGUUAUUAUAGCUUCGGCGCUAGAUGAUGGGUGUGCGUAUGAUUAGAUAGUUGGCGAGGUAACGGCUCACCAAGUCUACGAUCAUUAGCUGAUGUGAGAGCAUGAUCAGCCACACGGGCACUGAGACACGGGCCCGACUCCUACGGGAGGCAGCAGUAAGGAAUAUUGGUCAAUGGACGCAAGUCUGAACCAGCUAUGCCGCGUGAAGGAUUAAGGUCCUCUGGAUUGUAAACUUCUUUUAUCUGGGACGAAAAAAGGUCUUUCUAGAUCACUUGACGGUACCAGAUGAAUAAGCACCGGCUAACUCCGUGCCAGCAGCCGCGGUAAUACGGAGGGUGCAAGCGUUAUCCGGAUUCACUGGGUUUAAAGGGUGCGUAGGCGGGCAGGUAAGUCAGUGGUGAAAUCCUGGAGCUCAACUCCAGAACUGCCAUUGAUACUAUCUGUCUUGAAUAUUGUGGAGGUAAGCGGAAUAUGUCAUGUAGCGGUGAAAUGCUUAGAUAUGACAUAGAACACCCAUUGCGAAGGCAGCUUACUACGCAUAUAUUGACGCUGAGGCACGAAAGCGUGGGGAUCAAACAGGAUUAGAUACCCUGGUAGUCCACGCCCUAAACGAUGGAUACUCGACAUACGCGAUACACUGUGUGUGUCUGAGCGAAAGCAUUAAGUAUCCCACCUGGGAAGUACGUUCGCAAGAAUGAAACUCAAAGGAAUUGGCGGGGGUCCGCACA
rnacentral:rRNA from 1 species